GAAUCAGCACUUAAUAAGGGGUGGCUGGGAUGAUCCCAACUGAGCGCGUCCAACGAGGGCCUUCGGAGGCCGCGCGUUGCGCGAGCACGGGGAUUGUCCCAGUUACCCCGGCUCCAUUUUUUCAGCGUCCUGCUGGCAGUUUCUUCCACUUCGCAAGUAUCCGCUCCACCCGCAUCCGUACCACCAUAUCCGUAUCCUUCAACAACGGCUUGAUCGCAUCGCGGCCCCGGUCAUCGCCGAUUGCCUCGAGCGCCGCCGCAGACGUCAAGCGGGUAAACCAAUCGCUGUCGGCGA
rnacentral:misc_RNA from 1 species